rnacentral:lncRNA from 1 species
UUAGUCUUAACAGAAUUGCCUUUGCUUUAUUUUCUUUCUCUGGUUAUUUUGUAAUUAGAAAACCCCAGGGGUUUAUUUUUCCUCUAUCUGGCGCCAACUAGUGUGCCUCCUCCCACUAGCAGGCCCAACUCCCCUCCUUUCUACUAUAGACGAUGUUCCCUGUCCUCCUCCUUCGUUAGGCUCCUUCAGAGAGACAGAGAUUGCGCGGCAGCAACAGACGGCGUCACGAACGUCGAG